UACGUAGGGGCCUAGCGUUGUCCGGAAUUAUUGGGCGUAAAGGGCGCGUAGGCGGCGUGGUAAGUCACUUGUGAAAUCUCUGAGCUUAACUCAGAACGGCCAAGUGAUACUGCUGUGCUAGAGUGCAGAAGGGGCAAUCGGAAUUCUUGGUGUAGCGGUGAAAUGCGUAGAUAUCAAGAGGAACACCUGAGGUGAAGACGGGUUGCUGGGCUGACACUGACGCUGAGGCGCGAAAGCCAGGGGAGCAAACGGG
rnacentral:rRNA from 1 species